rnacentral:rRNA from 1 species
ACCCAUGGCAAGUUCCGAGCGGAGAGAGGUAGCUUGCUACUGAUCUUAGCGGCGGACGGGUGAGUAAUGCUUAGGAAUCUGCCUAUUAGUGGGGGACAACAUUUCGAAAGGAAUGCUAAUACCGCAUACGUCCUACGGGAGAAAGCAGGGGAUCUUCGGACCUUGCGCUAAUAGAUGAGCCUAAGUCGGAUUAGCUAGUUGGUGGGGUAAAGGCCUACCAAGGCGACGAUCUGUAGCGGGUCUGAGAGGAUGAUCCGCCACACUGGGACUGAGACACGGCCCAGACUCCUACGGGAGGCAGCAGUGGGGAAUAUUGGACAAUGGGCGCAAGCCUGAUCCAGCCAUGCCGCGUGUGUGAAGAAGGCCUUAUGGUUGUAAAGCACUUUAAGCGAGGAGGAGGCUACUUUAGUUAAUACCUAGAGAUAGUGGACGUUACUCGCAGAAUAAGCACCGGCUAACUCUGUGCCAGCAGCCGCGGUAAUACAGAGGGUGCAAGCGUUAAUCGGAUUUACUGGGCGUAAAGCGCGCGUAGGCGGCUAAUUAAGUCAAAUGUGAAAUCCCCGAGCUUAACUUGGGAAUUGCAUUCGAUACUGGUUAGCUAGAGUGUGGGAGAGGAUGGUAGAAUUCCAGGUGUAGCGGUGAAAUGCGUAGAGAUCUGGAGGAAUACCGAUGGCGAAGGCAGCCAUCUGGCCUAACACUGACGCUGAGGUGCGAAAGCAUGGGGAGCAAACAGGAUUAGAUACCUGGGUAGGUCCAAAAA